GGUGAGCUACCCCGAGACAGCCUAUGUUAAUUUAGGGCUAACCCGUCUCUGUGGCAAAAGAGUGGGAAGAGCUCCGGGUAGAAGUGAAAGACCUACCGAACCUGGUGAUAGCUGGUUGACUGAGAAAUGGAUAGAAGUUCAGCCUCGCACACCCCAAACCAAAAAAUAUUAUUAUCAAGAUAUUUAGGGAUACGUACGAGAGUUAGUUAAAAGGGGUACAGCCCUUUUAACAAAGGAUACAACCUUUACAGGAGGAUAAAGAUCAUAAUGUGUAAGAUAUACUGUUCUAGUGGGCCUGAAAGCAGCCACCUAUACAGAAAGCGUUAAAGCUCGGACAGAAAGAAAUUUAUUAUUUAGAUAAAAAAUCUUAUUCCCCUAACUAUAUCAGACCAACCCAUGCCUACAUGGAAGAGAUUAUGCUAAAAUGAGUAAUAAGAAGACCCGCUCUUCUCCCAGCACAAGUGUAAGCCAGAUCGGACUAGCCACUGGAAUUUAACGAACCCAACCCAAGAGGGUAAUGUGAUCAACAAAAAACUCAAGAAGACCUCACAUUAAACAAUCGUUAACCCCACACUGGAGUGCUAUUUUAAGGGAAAGACUAAAAGAAGGGGAAGGAACUCGGCAAACACAAGCCUCGCCUGUUUACCAAAAACAUCGCCUCCUGCAACUGAACUGAGUAUAGGAGGUCCAGCCUGCCCAGUGACUACGGGUUCAACGGCCGCGGUAUCUUGACCGUGCAAAGGUAGCGCAAUCACUUGUCUCUUAAAUAGAGACCUGUAUGAAUGGCUAGACGAGGGCUUAACUGUCUCCCCCCUCCAGUCAGUGAAAUUGAUCUAUCCGUGCAGAAGCGGGUAUAAAUAUACAAGACGAGAAGACCCUUUGGAGCUUAAGGUACAAAUUCAACCACGUUAAACAACUCUAUAAGAAGCAAGAACUUAGUGAUACUGAAAUUUUACCUUCGGUUGGGGCGACCGCGGAGGAAAAACAAGCCUCCAAGUGGACUGGGCCAAACCCCUGAAGCUAAUAGAGACAUCUAUAGGACACAGAAUAUCUGACCAAAAAUGAUCCGGCUAAAAAGCCGAUCAACGAACCAAGUUACCCAAGGGAUAACAGCGCAAUCCCCUCCCAGAGCCCAUAUCUACGAGGGGGUUUACGACCUCGAUGUUGGAUCAGGACAUCCUAAUGGUGC
rnacentral:rRNA from 1 species